ACGUACGUGUGGGCUGUGGUUGGUGAGGGCCGGCCGGUAGCGGAAGCCGUGUUCGCCACUCAAAGCUCUUCCAGCUGGUCACUCCAGCCUCCUGGGACUUUGCCUCACCUGAUCGCCGAGCUCCUGGCCGGGGGUGUCUGGGGAUGCCGCUCGGCCGCUUUCUGCGAGGAGCUUAACCCGCCCCACUGCCGCCCGGAUGGGACCGCCGGAGUGCGGCUGAAGUCUCCAGUGAAUAUUGAAUUGCUGAGAAAUUUGGGGAAAGACCAGCUGAAGUUCCCAUUCCAUGGAUCCCUUGGGUGCCCCUUCCCAGUUUGUGGAUGUGGAUACGCUACCCAGCUGGGGCGACUCAUGUGAAGAUGAAUUAAAUACUUCCGAUACUGCAGCUGAAACAUUACAAGAAAAUACUGUUAGAUCACCUUUUCUUUACGACAAGGAUAUCAGCGGGAAAGUGAUUCUUUGGAAAGGAGACGUGGCAUUACUGAACUGUACGGCCAUUGUGAAUACCAGCAAUGAAAGUCUUACAGAUAAGAACCCUGUGUCAGAGAGUAUCUUCAUGCUCGCAGGACCCGAUUUGAAGGAGGACCUCCAGAAACUUAAGGGUUGCCGGACAGGUGAAGCAAAAUUGACGAAAGGAUUUAAUCUAGCUGCCCGGUUCAUCAUUCACACAGUGGGACCUAAGUACAAGAGCCGCUAUCGCACCGCUGCUGAGAGCUCCCUGUACAGCUGCUACAGAAACGUGCUUCAGCUGGCAAAAGAGCAGUCAAUGUCAUCUGUUGGAUUCUGUGUCAUCAAUUCUGCAAAACGAGGUUAUCCUUUAGAGGAUGCAACACACAUAGCACUUCGCACUGUAAGGAGAUUCCUGGAGAUUCAUGGGGAGACCAUUGAAAAAGUAGUAUUUGCUGUCUCUGAACUUGAAGAGGCUACUUACCAAAAGCUGCUACCUCUGUACUUCCCAAGGUCAUUAAAGGAGGAAUGUCGAUCAUUGCCAUACCUACCUGCAGAUAUUGGAAAUGCAGAAGGGGAGCCUGUGGUACCUGAACGACAGAUUAGAAUAAGUGAAAAACCUGGUGCCCCGGAGGACAACCAAGAAGAGGAGGCUGAAGGCUUGGGAGUAGAUCUCUCUUUCAUCGGCUCUCAUGCUUUUGCUCGAAUGGAAGGAGAUAUUGAUAAGCAGAGAAGACUGAUCCUUCAGGGCCAGUUAUCAGAGGCAGCCCUGCAGAAGCAGCAUCAGAGAAAUUAUAAUCGCUGGUUGUGUCAAGCAAGAUCUGAGGAUCUAUCUGAUAUUGCUUCUCUAAAAGCCUUAUACCAAACAGGUGUUGAUAACUGUGGGCGCACAGUGAUGGUGGUAGUUGGAAGAAACAUUCCUGUCACAUUAAUAGAUAUGGACAAGGCUCUCUUAUAUUUCAUCCAUGUAAUGGAUCACAUUGCUGUGAAGGAAUAUGUAUUAGUAUAUUUUCACACACUGACCAGUGAAUACAAUCACCUGGACUCUGACUUCCUGAAGAAACUCUACGAUGUUGUUGAUGUCAAAUACAAGAGGAAUUUGAAGGCUGUUUAUUUUGUUCAUCCAACGUUUCGUUCAAAGGUAUCAACAUGGUUUUUUACCACCUUUUCUGUCUCAGGACUGAAGGACAAAAUCCACCAUGUGGACAGCCUCCACCAGCUAUUUUCUGCCAUAUCACCAGAACAGAUUGAUUUUCCACCUUUUGUCCUUGAAUAUGAUGCCAGGGAAAAUGGGCCUUACUAUACAUCUUAUCCCCCAUCACCAGAUUUGUGACCUGCCAUCUUUUAGCGCUACUGGUUUCCAGGGACGUCACUUUCUCCACGAAUUGCUACCUAUUGAAGUGAUAUUCAUUUUUGCUCUUCAGAUCCAGAGAGCCUUUUGUCCCCACCUCUCUGGUAUUUUUUUAUUGACUGUAUAUUUUCUGGCACAUAAGCAAUCUGAAAAUGCCUCUUUUCCCCAUCUGCAAGAUCUUUAAGUUCAAUGAAUGUAUGGCUCUCCAUCAAGAUAGAAAAGAUGUCCUCUCUGCCUUAUCCUGUAGCCCAGCAUUGGAAAAUUGUUCCGGCUUCACAUUACAGAUAAGGCCCAGUUUUACCUGCUUUUCUCCAGUUUUAGCAGCCUGUUACUUGAUUUGGGUUGUAAGCCCUACUUCAAGUUAUUUUUCCUCUUUCUCUUAUUAAAGGCAAAUAAGAUCAAUUCAUUAUAACUUUGGAUGGAAUGGCCUCUCGUCUUUGAAUUUAAAAAAAAAAAUCCAAAUUUAUUUUUUUAUAAGGAGGUAUCCAAAGCAUUUGACCAUUUCAUUAGGUCUUCUAGUUGAGAUGCGUCUGACAUUUUCAUUUUGACAUGCUUAUUGUAAAUGAUAACAUUGGUUUAACACAUUGUCUUAGGUGGGUUGGUAUCUGUGAAUUUUAUUUCUAAUAACAAAGUAAGUGUUAAAACUUACUAUGAAAGGGGCAUAGGUUCUCAAACAGAUGGGGAAGUAGAGGGCCAGGCAGGUUAAGGCAGCAACGUUGCGCUCACAGCCAGAUCAUGGCGAUAGUAGGUAGUUUCAGGAUGACCUUGCUAUCUAUAGCUGGAGCCCUUUGGUUUAACUAUGUUUGCACGGCCCCUUGCCUUUGACAUUCCCUCUGAGACCUCUAAACAAGUUUUGUUUUGUUUUUUUUUAAUUUAUUAUUUAUCAUUUAUUUUUUUUUAUCUAAGUUGCACUUGCUCAGCCAAGUUCCCCGGGAGGACCAGAGUUCAAGAAUUAGCAGCAGAGUUAUCAGUCAGCUUAAAGUUAGGGGUCUCUGAUCAUAGAUCACACACCAGUGAGUCUGGGAGAAGAAGUGGAGGUGAAAGGUCAGAUUUCUGAGCAUCCUAAAUUCUGCCUCACAGUCCUUUACAGAAACUGUGUUCCUGCCUUGCAUAUUUAAAGCCAUCAGUAGGCAGUGAUAACCUCAGAGAGAGGCUGAAAUAGUGUGGAGGUAAAUUGUAAUAACUAGUAUUUAUAAUCCUUUACCACAGGCCAGGCAGUAUUCUAAAUAGAUGAACACAUUUGAUUCUCCCAACAAUCCUGGGAGGCUAGGACCUUUGUUAUCCCCACUCUACAGAUGAGGAAACUGAGGCACAAAGAGAAUUAAGGCCUGAGUCAUGUUAGUGGCAGGGCCAGGAUUUGAACCUGGUGUCAAAGUAUCCAGGCCUCCAGUUUGCCAACUAAUAGUGGCAGGCAGUUACUUUCUUAAGGAUACCUGUGAAUUGGUGGUGGGAUCAAUGGGAAUUCAGACUCUUAGGCUCCCCACACAGCUUUGUGAACCCCACAGCCAGUGUUAAAGGCUGUUGAAGUAUUUAAUGUUGAGCUUUAUACAAAGUAACCAAGAAUGUGCUAGCAACUAAAUGAGAAUAUGUAUUUGAUCUUAGAACUGAGUAUUUUGUCCUGUCAUUUAACAUUUAUUUGCCCUUUGUAUGACAAGAUUUGUCUUGGCAACCACCCAUAUAACUGCAUGUCCCAGUAUGACAAGAAAUGGGCAUUCUCCUGUGGUAACUUGGAACAGAAUGUUCCUGAUAUGGAGAGACUAGGUUCCAGGGUUAAAUGUAUAGUUACAGUCAGAAAAAAAACAGGUAUUUGGUACACCAGGACUCUAGGGUUACUCAUUUGUUCUCUUUGGACAACUUCCAGAUGUGCUUUGGCCAAAUUCAUCAGAAAGAUGAUUUUCUCUUCAUCUCUGCCCCAUUCCCUGUAUUAGAGACCGGAACCUUAGCUACACAAAUUCAUGUUGGACGUAGGACUCAAGCUGAGCUGCAAAACAUACUUGUUUCCAUUGUUUCCACUAUCUUUAGUUUUUUCAGCAUGAAUUUCCACGCCGCAUGUGAAGAACAAGCCUUUCAUUCAGACCUCAAGGUUCCAACAAUAGGGCCCCAGCCCAUUUUUACAGCCUCGUCUUUUUCCCACUACUUUCCUUCACCUCCAACACAUUGGGCUGACUCCUGGCAGAGUUUCUGCAGCUCUGAACUUCUACUGUUCCUCUGAGUAUCCUUUAAGCCCUGUCAUAAACCCUAUCCUCCAGGAAACCUCCACCAGUUCUCCUAACUUCAUUGAUCUCCCCCACCCUGAACUUGAUCCCUAUUUGAAGGCCCUUACUGUUAACCUCCCUGGUAAAAGGAUCCUUUGUGUUCCUGUCCCGUGCCCCAUGUUCCUCCCGUGGAGGAGUGUGUGGCUUACAAUACCUUUCUUAAACAGCCUCGCUCUGCUUUGUGCCUUGCCUGAUGUGUAUGUACAUUGUGAGGGGACAUGUCAUCGAUAUCCAAUGUUAACCAGAGAAGGAAUCUUAGAGAUUCACUUGUCUCACCUUUUCAUUUUAUAGAUGAGAAAAAGAUGUGUGCAAAGGUCAACCACCCAAGGUCAUUGGUGACAUGGUGGCAGAGCCAGGCCUCUUGGCUCCCUGUACAUUACGAUCCUUCUAAAAUGUGGAGGGUCACAUGAUGUCAAGGGAGAAUAUUUGGGGGUUGUGAAAUUGUAUGGACUGUUUAUAUCCUGAUGGGAAUAAUAGAGCAGAGAGGGGAAAUUGAUGAUAAAAUUUUUGCAGGGGGGAAAUUGUUGAGUAUGUGAGAGGGGAUAGAAUCUGGUGCAGGACUUCGAAAAUAUCCUGGACACUUUACCCAUUGCGACAGUAGGGGACACUGAGUAUGUGGGUGUAGUUGUAGGUAUAUUGGUAGAUAAUCAAGAGAAUGUGGACAUUUUUUCUUGAACUCUCCUGUUUUUUUCUUUUGAUUAAGAGAUAGGGUUUUUAGCUGAAAAUGAGGAAGAGGGAAAAGGUUUUAGAGGUUUGAAAUGAGAAGAGAGAAAAGUUGUCUGGGGAGUGGAAAAAGGAAUCAGUGAAGGAAUUCUAGCAUGAUUGUGGUCAGCACUUACCACUUGAGGUUUGUGGUCAAGCAGUGUUUCCCAGGCUAUUGGCCCUCUGGACAUUUAGCAUCUCUGGCCCUUAGUAAUACCCCUCACUGAUUGUGAUGAUCAAAAGAACUCCCGGUCACAUUUCCAAACGCCCCCUAGGGGACUGAUCUAUUCCUAAUUGAGAAAAACUAGGACACCAGUCACAAAGAAGCAUGCUUUUCUGUAGUCACAUUCACCUGCCGGCAGGAAGUAGGCAGAAAUCUGAAUUUAGGACUCUUGGGGUUUGAGUCAAGAACAUGGGCAGGAGAAGAGGGGGAGGGGGAUUGAGGGUAUAUGUAAUGGAGUGAUUGUAACAGUCAGAUUUUCUGAGCGACAGAAGGCCCGCGGCUGGCUCAAAGCAACUCAGGAACACCCCAGUGGUGGAGGAUUUCUAGCGACCAUUCAGGGGCUUUUGGAUAUGUGUCCAAUUUCUGGCUAUUACAAGUAAAGUGUUAUGAACAUUCUGGUACAUAUGUUUGGGUGGACGUAUACAUUCGUUUCUCUUGGGAAUAUAGCCAGAGUGGACUUGAUGGGUCAUAGGAAACAUGUUCAUUUAGCUCUAUUAAAAACUGCUGCUCAUCUGUUUAAAAGUUACAUGUACCUCUACCUAUGAUUCAGUCAUUCCAUUUAUCCAAGAGAAAACAAGGCAUAUGUCCACACAAAGACCUGUACAUUAGUGUUCAGGGCUGCUUUAUUUGUAAUAGUAGAGAACUGGAAACAGCACAGCUGUUCAUCAACAGGUGCAUAGAUCAACAAAUGGGGUACAGCUGUACAAUGGAAUACUACUCAGCAAUAAAAAACAAUAGCUAAGUCAACAUGGAUGAAUUCUAAAAUCAAUAUGUGAGUAAAAGAACUGGGUACAAAAAUACCUACUCUGUGAUUCCAUGAAUAUAAAAUCCUAGAGAAGACAAACUGAUCCAUAGUGAUAGAAAGCAGAUCAGCGGUUGCCUAAGUAUCAAGUGGUGGGGAAUAGAGAGAAGGAAUGGGUUCCAAAAAGCACUAGGAAAUUUCUGGGGGUGGUGGACAUGUUUAUUUUCUUGACUGUGGCAAUUGCUUCAUGGGUACAUACAUAUGUACAACUCACCAAGUUAUACACGACAAAAAUAUGCAAUUUAUUGUAUAUGAAUUACACCUCAGAGCUACUAAAAAAAAAUUAACCUACCGAAUGGUUUUCCAAAGCGGUUGAACCAAUCUGUACUCCAUCAACAGCGUGUGAGAAUUCUAGUUGUCUACCACAUUGUUGCCAACAUUUGGUUCUAAUCAGUCCUUUUAAUUUUGGUGGUAGUGUGGCGGUAUCACAUUUUUGGUUUUCAUUUGCAUUUUCCUGAUCAAAUGACAUUGAGCACCUUUUCAUCUGCACAUGGGUCAUUUGAAUAUCCUCUUCUGUUAAAUGCCAACUUCAAGUGUUUUCCCAUUUGUCUGUUGCAUUCUUAGUCUUUUGAUUUGUAGGUCUUUGGGUAUUUGGAUGAGGCCCUUGUCAUGACAGGGAGGGAGGGAGUUCUCCUCUCAGUCUGUCACCUCCCUUUUGACUCUCUGAAUGUUGUCUUUUGAUGAAGAGUUCUUAAUUUUAAUGGAAUCCAAUUUAUUAAAUAUUUCUCUUGUUUAGUGGUUUGUACAUCUUGUCUUAAAAAUGUUUGCCUACCUAAAGUUGUAGAGAUACCGUCUGUGGUUUUGUUUUGUUUUGUUUUGUUUUGUUUUGUUUUGUUUUGUUUUCUGGUAGCAUAUUGCUUUAACAAUCAUAUAUACAUGUCUAUGUUUUUAAAAAAAUUUUUUUGGUAUACUGUGAAAUAGAGUGUGAAAUAAAGGAUCAAUGAACCUUUUACUUUAAGGGA